rnacentral:lncRNA from 1 species
AAAGUUCUCCACAUUUCGUCCAGCAGUUUUUUGAUAAUUUGACUCGAAAAAGCGAACUAUUUGUCCAUUGUGGACGUUCAAAAACGUACCGCGCCUACGUUAAAAAAAUCCGCUGCGUAUGACGCAUCGUACCACGUGACGUGAACUGUCCAAUUAGACACCAGAUAUGAGGUCGCAGGUCAUGACAUUUAACAAACAUGGCGGCGUCCAUUGGCAAAAGUGCGUCAACGUAAACAUCGACCGGUGCAAAAAAGAAGUGUUUGCACUCAUAAUCUGUCACGUUUGAGGGGGGAAAUGCGAAGGAUCUGAUGUCCGGUGAUAGUAAGUUCAUUUCCUGUGCCAAAGAGUGGCUGAAUUUCACAAUGGCAUCGCCGAAUAUACCCACGAUGUGUGGGCAGUGGAUCUGUUAUGUCUGUAUCGUACUGUACAGUACUACAUCAUGCACUACCGGCGCAUGUAAACAAGGUAGUCCGGCCGGCCGAUCUCACCCGUGGCGGUUUUUAUAGAUAGUAAACGUCUCGGUGCUGCAAGAAAACGCAAACCAGACACUUCAGCUGAGACCCAGAUUUCUUCACCGAAAAAGCUCCGGGCAAAGUUCAAGUUUCUUUGAAUUGCCUAUCUACCAUGUCUACAUAACUGUGUCAUGCUGCACACAAACUCAACCAGGAUUUUGAUUUCGAUGAAAACCUCAAUUCAAGGACAGUACAACAAGCAGAACUUCCGUUGGAGGCCUAAAGGAUGAACGUCAGGAAAAGGGAGAUGUUCUGCGACUGACUGUUCAACCCCGAUCAACAACUUAGUUUCAUGAGAAUGUCCCAGCUUGGUGAACUGUUGGAAUCAUGAAAUGAUUUAGAAGCCGAAGGAACUGGCCUUGGAUCUUUAUAUCGAACUGACAAGUUGACAUAUCGGCUUAGAAGAGAAUAUCCACAGAUCUCUUUCCUUGAUAUAUGGGACAUCAUCUACACCGCUACUUUAUCUGCUGGAUGUGUAGUUGAAUCUCUGGGGACUUCAGAGGAGGAUUCAAAACUGAAACUUUGGCUUAGAAAGCAAGACAUACGCUCCAUCCUGUUGUUAGGCCGUUACUGCACAAGAUUUGAUGAGAACUUUGAUGUAGUGAUAACAUUUACUUGAAGUUGUAUCAGCACGACUAGUUAGCAUUUGACAUUAUAAUGAAAAUAAUGAGUAACUCUAGAUUUCAAAACUACAUAAUUGUAUCCUUCUGUUCAUUAGUGUUGGUUUUAUUCAUUUUAAUUCUUUUCAAUUAUUAAAAAUUAGUUCCAGUAAAAAAAGGCAAAUUCUGUGAAUUUUAACAGUGAGACUAGCCACAUAUGACAAGCCAAAUCACUCUCUUUAAUGUGUAAGCAUACAAAAUAGCAUGAGUUAUGGUUUUGUUUUCUUUUUAUUGAUAUACAUGCAAACAUUUAUACGUGCUAAUCAAUGUAUCAAUAAAUAAAAAGCUGAAAUUUUCUUUGACAAAAGACUGAUCUUAAGGCUUUUCUCCAAACCAAGAUGGCUGUUUUGAUUAGAUAGCAAAUAAAUGUACAAUGGUUGAUUUUUUAAAUUAUUAAACCAGACUCUGACUUCUAUCUGAUGGUCCUUUGA